GGCUCAGAAUCAACGCAGGCGGCGCGCCUAACACUUGCAAGUCGAGCGAGAAAGGGGGGCAACUCCUGAGUACAGCGGCGUACGGGUGAGUAACACGUGGGUAAUCUACCUCUUAGUGGGGAAUAACGCUGGGAAACCGGCGCUAAUACCGCAUAAGCCUGAGAAGGGAAAGCAGCAAUGCGCUGAGAGAGGAGCCCGCGGCCGAUUAGCUAGUUGGUGAGGUAACGGCCCACCAAGGCAAAGAUCGGUAGCCGGCCUGAGAGGGCACACGGCCACACUGGCAUUGAAACACGGGCCAGACUCCUACGGGAGGCAGCAGUGGGGAAUCUUGCACAAUGGGGGAAACCCCGAUGCAGAGACGCCUCGUGAGCGAUGAGGCCCUUCGGGGUGUAAAGCUCUUUAGGCAGGGAAGAUGAUGACGGUACCUGCAGAAGCAGCUGCGGCUAACUACGUGCCAGCAGCCGCGGUAAUAUGUUGGCCGCAAGCGUUGCUCGGAGUUACUGGGCGUAAAGGGUGUGUAGGCGGUUCUUCAAGUUUGGUGUGAAAUCUCCCGGCUCAACUGGGAGGGUGCGCCGAAUAAUGAGGGACUAGAGUGCGGGAGAGGAAAGUGGAAUUCCUGGUGUAGCGGUGAAAUGCGUAGAUAUCAGGAGGAACACCGGUGGUGUAAACGGCUUUUUGGACCGUAAAUGACGUUGAGACAUGAAAGCGUGGGUAGCAAACAGGAUUAGAUACCCUGGUAGUCUCACGCCCUAAACGAUGCAUAUUUGGUGUGGGUCAUUCAGUUGAUCCGUGCUGGAGCUAACGCGUUAAAUAUGCC
rnacentral:rRNA from 1 species